AUUGAACGCUGGCGGCAUGCCUUACACAUGCAAGUCGAACGGCAGCACGGGUGCUUGCCCCUGGUGGCGAGUGGCGAACGGGUGAGUAAUACAUCGGAACAUGUCCUGUAGUGGGGGAUAGCCCGGCGAAAGCCGGAUUAAUACCGCAUACGAUCCACGGAUGAAAGCGGGGGACCUUCGGGCCUCGCGCUAUAGGGUUGGCCGAUGGCUGAUUAGCUAGUUGGUGGGGUAAAGGCCUACCAAGGCGACGAUCAGUAGCUGGUCUGAGAGGACGACCAGCCACACUGGGACUGAGACACGGCCCAGACUCCUACGGGAGGCAGCAGUGGGGAAUUUUGGACAAUGGGCGAAAGCCUGAUCCAGCAAUGCCGCGUGUGUGAAGAAGGCCUUCGGGUUGUAAAGCACUUCUGUCCGGAAAGAAAUCCUUGGCUCUAAUACAGUCGGGGGAUGACGGUACCGGAAGAAUAAGCACCGGCUAACUACGUG
rnacentral:rRNA from 1 species